AGCCUACUGUAUCCAUGCUGAGAUUUCGUCACACACCAGAUGAUGAGACUUCCAAGAUAAGUGAAGCG
rnacentral:pre_miRNA from 1 species